GCCUGGGUGGCUCAGUCGUUGAGCGUCUGCCUUCAGCUCAGGGCGUGAUUCCAGAGUCCUGGGAUCGAGCCCCACCUCAGGCU
rnacentral:tRNA from 1 species